CCACAGCAGGCAUGGCAAUACCAGCAGCAACGCCUUGAGUUCAUUUUGUGAGAUGUCAGAUGAUCUGUGAUAAAGUGACAGGAUGUGCAGGAGCAGCGAGGAGACGAGGUCCAUUUUAAUGAGGCUAACUCUACUGGGUAGUGCAGACCGUGCCUCGACAAGCCCUUGGAUCUUGUUUCCUUUUGCAAAGCGUCUUAAUGGCAUAAAAGGAUUUUUGCACAAAUAAGGAAAGGCAAUUCCCCAAACAGAUUUCUUUCAGUGGCCAUUGAAAUGGAAAGCUGCCACCGAGAAUUGCAUGAUCCUCUCUAAGAGGUAAGCACAAUCAGAAAUCAGUAUUCCCUUGGCUCCCAAAAAUGUACUGAAAUACUUUGGAAUUAGCAGCGUGUUUGCUGGAGGCUCACCGUUCACCCAGCAGGUCCUGCCCGCUGGCACUGAGAUGUAAUGACACAUAAGAUGGUCUGACCCAGCACUGCUUACGAAUGACCCAUUCCUGCAGGCAGCUUGGAUGAGAAGCAGGAAGAGUGGGGACUUAUAGCAAGGUGCAAGGGAAAUAUGAGAAGGCCUCACGCUGUUCUCCAGCCCUUUGUUAUUUUGUCAGCUGAUCUUCCAGGCUGUUAUUAGAAUUUCAGGCAGGCUGGGAUCAUGCUUCACAUUGGCUACCAGCAUCAGGUAAAUGCAUAAGGACAACUAGUCCUGGUCGAAGUUGCAAAAAAGGGUUUCUAUCAAUGGUAUAUUUUUAACCUAGCUUAAUAUGUUCUGAAACAUCUACAGAGAAUCACUUUUAUGGGAUCUGUUUUUUAAAUCUUGCUUUCCAGGGAAGUACUUUUUUUUAUCUAUUAUUCCUUCCUAAGCUAUUCUUGGAUCCCAGUGCAUGAAUUCUAAGAUUUUCUGGGCAAUGUUGUGAAAAGGUGAGUAGAUGAAUAGAAGAUGUAAGUAAAAUACUCCAGACUGCCUAAGAGUGAGGCCAUCCAGUCUGCCUGCUCUCUACUGAAAUGCACAUUUAGGAAUGGUUUGUUCAAGUCUGCAG
ensembl:lncRNA